ACUAAACGCUUCUAGGGUUCCGACAGGGCGUCAGCGCGCUCUGUGGCUGGUCCGAGAGAAGCAGGUCGGUUUUGGCUUCGUCUUCGCGAAUCUAGAGGCCGACUACACGGCGGGAAAAAAGCCCGGGAGGA
rnacentral:sRNA from 2 species